UGCAUAAAUGACAGUAGUGAAAGAAAAAGUCACAGACUUGAGAGGCUAGAAACUGUUUUUAAUUAUUCUUCCGCAACUUGUCUCUUUGAAGAAUCCAAGGAAAAAAAAGCAGACAAGAGGAAGAGACAUUGAUGAUCUUGUUAGUGAAAAUAAGGAUUAAUCUUGUUAGUCGAGAAUCUCAUAGCAGCCACCUGCCACCCUUCCGUAGUCAUCACCAUGGUUCAUCACCCAUCAGGAAAUGUAAAAUAAAGACACAUUCACUUCGCAUGACAAGAUAGGAGAUGUGGUAAUAGACAUCAGGCCGUUUCUAGAGGCUCAAAGAAAACUGCUUGGCUGAAGAGAGUUGAAUCAUCUUCAGUAAAGGAAAGAUGGUCCACGACAUGUUUCUCAACCUGAGAUAUGUUGAAAGCGGUGAGGUUGAGAUUCAAAUUGAGUGGGUCGGUGUUCCAUGGUCAGACAAUCUUUGAAAGAAAACAACAAAAAGCAAGUGUAAUAUAAUGCAGGGGAAAUGUUGAUAUGCUCACAGCUAACCUAAAAUAUUACAAUGUGUAUAUGUGCACAUGCGUCGGUUUAUGCCUUGGAAAAGAGGUGUUCGCGGAUCUCUUUGGUCAUCAAUUCAAAGAACUGCAGAGCCACCUUCUCACCAGUCAAGAAGAAAUAUCAUUGCAACACACAAGUUACAGUUUACAACUUAUAACUUCAAAGAUACGUAACACACUAGAAAUCAUGUAUAUAUGAUUAUGACAUACUUGCAUAAUAUUAGAUCUCUUCAAUCA